rnacentral:rRNA from 1 species
CUACGGGCUGCUGCAGUGAGGAAUAUUGCACAAUGGGGGGAACCCUGAUGCAGCAACGCCGCGUGGAGGAUGACGCAUUUCGGUGUGUAAACUCCUUUUAUAUGUCAAGAAAAUGACGGUAGCAUAUGAAUAAGCACUGGCUAACUCCGUGCCAGCAGCCGCGGUAAUACGGAGGGUGCAAGCGUUACUCGGAAUCACUGGGCGUAAAGGACGCGUAGGCGGGUUGGAAAGUCAGGUGUGAAAUCCUACAGCUUAACUGUAGAACUGCACUUGAAACUUCUAAUCUAGAGUAUGGGAGGGGGAGAUGGAAUUAGAGGUGUAGGGGUAAAAUCCGUAGAUAUCACUAGGAAUACCUAAAGCGAAGGCGAUCUCCUGGAACAUUACUGACGCUAAGGCGUGAAAGCGUGGGGAGCAAACAGGAUUAGAUACCCUCGUAGUC